rnacentral:rRNA from 1 species
AUGAACAGCAUGACCAACGGCACCAACAGCUACUACGGUGACACCACCUCUCACCGGACGACCAAGGAGGUCAGCGCUCUCCAGAGGGAGCUCGUCAGAUGCUUUAAUGCGGGAGCCUUCGGCACCGGCAAAGACGGCCAUGUUUUGCCUGCUGCGGCGACGAGAGCGGCGAUGCUCGUCCGUGCCAAUACCUUGCUCCAGGGAUAUUCUGGCAUGCGCUUCCAGAUCCUCGAGACAAUCAUCACAUUUCGUCUCAACACCAACAUGACACCAUGCAUGCCUACCUCUCCGGGGCACCCUCACCGUGUCCGGUGA